AUUGAACGCUGGCGGCAUGCUUUACACAUGCAAGUCGAACGGUAACAGGUUAAGCUGACGAGUGGCGAACGGGUGAGUAAUGUAUCGGAACGUGCCCAGUCGUGGGGGAUAACGUAGCGAAAGCUACGCUAAUACCGCAUACGAUCUGUGGAUGAAAGCGGGGGACCGUAAGGCCUCGCGCGAUUGGAGCGGCCGAUAUCAGAUUAGGUAGUUGGUGGGGUAAAGGCCCACCAAGCCAACGAUCUGUAGCUGGUCUGAGAGGACGACCAGCCACACUGGGACUGAGACACGGCCCAGACUCCUACGGGAGGCAGCAGUGGGGAAUUUUGGACAAUGGGGGCAACCCUGAUCCAGCAAUGCCGCGUGCAGGAAGAAGGCCUUCGGGUUGUAAACUGCUUUUGUACGGAACGAAAAGGCUCUGGUUAAUACCUGUGGUUUAUGACGGUACCGUAAGAAUAAGCACCGGCUAACUACGUGCCAGCCGCCACGGUAA
rnacentral:rRNA from 1 species